rnacentral:rRNA from 1 species
GGGGAGUACGGCCGCAAGGUUAAAACUCAAAUGAAUUGACGGGGGCCCGCACAAGCGGUGGAGCAUGUGGUUUAAUUCGAUGCAACGCGAAGAACCUUACCUACUCUUGACAUCCAGAGAACUUUCCAGAGAUGGAUUGGUGCCUUCGGGAACUCUGAGACAGGUGCUGCAUGGCUGUCGUCAGCUCGUGUUGUGAAAUGUUGGGUUAAGUCCCGCAACGAGCGCAACCCUUAUCCUUUGUUGCCAGCGGUUCGGCCGGGAACUCAAAGGAGACUGCCAGUGAUAAACUGGAGGAAGGUGGGGAUGACGUCAAGUCAUCAUGGCCCUUACGAGUAGGGCUACACACGUGCUACAAUGGCGUAUACAAAGAGAAGCGACCUCGCGAGAGCAAGCGGACCUCAUAAAGUACGUCGUAGUCCGGAUUGGAGUCUGCAACUCGACUCCAUGAAGUCGGAAUCGCUAGUAAUCGUAGAUCAGAAUGCUACGGUGAAUACGUUCCCGGGCCUUGUACACACCGCCCGUCACACCAUGGGAGUGGGUUGCAAAAGAAGUAGGUAGCUUAACCUUCGGGAGGGCGCUUACCACUUUGUGAUUCAUGACUGGGGUGAAGUCGUAACAAGGUAACCGUAGGGGAACCUGCGGUUG